CCAAUUUCCUUUUCUUUCUCUUCACCUCAUCGCCGCACGAUUCCCUUCUCUUCCUCAUUCCCGAUCUCCUCCUCCCCUCUCAUCUUCACGCUGCCGCGACCAGCCCCUCCUCACUCGAUCGCCGCCGGUGAAGUCCUCAGCCGGUAACGUGCUAGCGACCUUGAAGCUGCAGCACCGCCUCCUGAUCUUGCCGACGCCGAGCUCUUUUUCGAUUCCACCUUUCUUCGCCUAAGCCCUAGCGUGUGCCGAUGUCGCGCCUUGCAUCUACGCCCGACGCCAUCUUCUUACCAUGCCCUAGCUUGAAUCGAUCUCGCGGUGGUGCACAGAUCUUCCUCCAGCCGACGCUGUCGAUUUGUCUCGACGCUGCCGCCGGCCAAGGAGUAAGAAGGGGUGUUGUUCCAAGGGUCCAGCCACCCUUUGCUUCUUCCCUCGUCUUCAAGGUGCAGCUGGUUAGUUGCUUGGAGUCAUCCGAUCUUCACCAGAAGAGUGAGUGAUGGAGAGGAGUAUGCUGGUAAUAGAUUGAGUUUUGGCCAGCACUGUAGGCCAGUGAACCAUCGGAGAAAAGAUUGUUGACAUGGAAUUAAGUUAGAAGGUGAUGGAGAUGUGGGCAGCAGUAAGCAUCACACCCGUGAUUUUCAACAGUGGGUUGUUUCGUUCACAAGGAGCACUUUGAAUGAGGAUCCGAGUUGGAUGUGAUCUUCUGGAGUUGUUGAAGACGGUUGACACGCACUACGUAUAAAGGCGGGU